rnacentral:rRNA from 1 species
CACACCCGACACGGCUCACCUUUUCGCCCGUAAACCUGCAAUUCCUGAGCGAAAUAGCCCGGUUUACCAUCACUUUGCAGAAAAUCUUUCAGCGUUGUACCACCCUGCUCAAUCGAACGCAGCAACACCGCUUUAAUCACCCGAGCUAACAAUUCACACUCUGCCAGCGACAGUGAUGACGCCAGCCGAUCCGGAUGGAUCCCCGCCGCAAACAGUGAUUCGCUGGCAAACGUCGACGCGGCCGCGGCCGCGUCGACCGGCAAUGGGGGCAACCCUGACCGAGCAACGCCGCGUGAGUGAAGAAGGUUUUCGGAUCGUAAAGCUCUGUUGUAAGUCAAGAACGAGUGUGAGAGUGGAAAGUUCACACUGUGACGGUAGCUUACCAGAAAGGGACGGCUAACUACGUGCCAGCAGCCGCGGUAAUACGUAGGUCCCGAGCGUUGUCCGGAUUUAUUGGGCGUAAAGCGAGCGCAGGCGGUUUGAUAAGUCUGAAGUUAAAGGCUGUGGCUCAACCAUAGUUCG